rnacentral:rRNA from 1 species
GAUGAACGCUGGCGGCGUGCUUAACACAUGCAAGUCGAACGAGAAGUGGAGACGGAAACCUUCGGGCGGAAGACUUUACUUCGAGUGGCGGACGGGUGAGUAACGCGUGGGUAACCUGCCUCAUACAGGGGGAUAACAGUUGGAAUAGACUGUUAAUACCGCAUACGACCAAAGCACCGCAUGGUGCGGGGGGAAAUACUCCGGUGGUAUGUGAUGGACCCGCGUUCGUUUGGCCAGUUCGCGGGGUAACGGCGCACCAAAGCGACGAUCGAUAGCCGAUCUGAGAGGAUGACCGGACACAUUGAGACUGAGACACGGCCCAAACUCCUACGGGAGGAGGCAAUGGGGAAUAUUGCAAAAUGGGGGAAACGCUGAUGAAGCGACGCCGCGUGAGUGAAGAAGUAUUGCGGUAUGUAAAGCUAUAUCAGCAGGGAAGAAAAUGACGUUACCUGAGGAAGAAGCCCCGGCUAACUACGUG